rnacentral:rRNA from 1 species
UGCAGUCGACGCUUCUUUUUCACCGGAGCUUGCUCCACCGGAAAAAGAGGAGUGGCGAACGGGUGGGUAACACGUGGGUAACCUGCCCAUCAGAAGGGGAUAACACUUGAAAACAGGUGCUAAUACCGUAUAACAAUCGAAACCGCAUGGUUUCGUUUUGAAAGGCGCUUUACGGUGCCGCUGAUGGAUGGACCCGCGGUGCAUUAGCUAGUUGGUGAGGUAACGGCUCACCAAGGCCACGAUGCAUAGCCGACCUGAGAGGGUGAUCGGCCACAUUGGGACUGAGACACGGCCCAAACUCCUACGGGAGGCAGCAGUAGGGAAUCUUCGGCAAUGGACGAAAGUCUGACCGAGCAACGCCGCGUGAGUGAAGAAGGUUUUCGGAUCGUAAAACUCUGUUGUUAGAGAAGAACAAGGGUGAGAGUAACUGUUCACCCCUUGACGGUAUCUAACCAGAAAGCCACGGCUAACUACGUGCCAGCAGCCGCGGUAAUACGUAGGUGGCAAGCGUUGUCCGGAUUUAUUGGGCGUAAAGCGAGCGCAGGCGGUUUCUUAAGUCUGAUGUGAAAGCCCCCGGCUCAACCGGGGAGGGUCAUUGGAAACUGGGAGACUUGAGUGCAGAAGAGGAGAGUGGAAUUCCAUGUGUAGCGGUGAAUGCGUAGAUAUAUGGAGGAACACAGUGGCGAGGCGGCUCUCUGGCUGAACUGACCUGAGCUCGAAGCG